AAGCAUGACUAGUACGGCGAGUGAAGCGGCAACAGCUCAAAUUUGAAAUCUGGCUCUUUUAGAGUCCGAGUUGUAAUUUGCAGAGGGCGCUUUGGCUUUGGCAGCGGUCCAAGUUCCUUGGAACAGGACGUCACAGAGGGUGAGAAUCCCGUACGUGGUCGCUGGCUAUUGCCGUGUAAAGCCCCUUCGACGAGUCGAGUUGUUUGGGAAUGCAGCUCUAAAUGGGAGGUACAUUUCUUCUAAAGCUAAAUAUUGGCCAGAGACCGAUAGCGCACAAGUAGAGUGAUCGAAAGAUGAAAAGCACUUUGGAAAGAGAGUCAAACAGCACGUGAAAUUGUUGAAAGGGAAGCGCUUGCAGCCAGACUUGCUUACAGUUGCUCAUCCGGGUUUCUACCCGGUGCACUCUUCUGUAGGCAGGCCAGCAUCAGUUUGGGCGGUAGGAUAAAGGUCUCUGUCACGUACCUCCUUUCGGGGAGGCCUUAUAGGGGAGACGACAUACUACCAGCCUGGACUGAGGUCCGCGCAUCUGCUAGGAUGCUGGCGUAAUGGCUGUAAGCGGCCCGUCUUGAA
rnacentral:rRNA from 1 species